rnacentral:rRNA from 1 species
AAUAGCGUAUAUUAAAGUUGUUGCAGUUAAAAAGCUCGUAGUUGGAUUUCUGGUGGGAGCGAUCGGUCUGGCGCUUAGCGCGAGUACUUGCAUCGUCUCCGGCCAUCCUUGGGGAGAGUCUGUCUGGCAUUAGGUUGUCGGGCAGAGGAUCCUCAUCGUUUACUGUGAAAGAAUUAGAGUGUUCAAAGCAGGCUUAUGCCGUUGAAUAUAUUAGCAUGGAAUAAUAAGAUAGGACUUUGGUACUAUUUUGUUGGUUUGCGCACCAAAGUAAUGAUUAAUAGGGACAGUUGGGGGUAUUCGUAUUCCGUUGUCAGAGGUGAAAUUCUUGGAUUUACGGAAGACGAACUACUGCGAAAGCAUUUACCAAGGAUGUUUUCAUUAA